rnacentral:rRNA from 1 species
AGGACGAACGCUGGCGGCGUGCUUAACACAUGCAAGUCGAACGGAAAGGCCCUUCGGGGUACUCGAGUGGCGAACGGGUGAGUAACACGUGGGUGAUCUGCCCUGCACUUUGGGAUAAGCCUGGGAAACUGGGUCUAAUACCGAAUAGGACCACGGGAUGCAUGUCCUGUGGUGGAAAGCUUUUGCGGUGUGGGAUGGGCCCGCGGCCUAUCAGCUUGUUGGUGGGGUGAUGGCCUACCAAGGCGACGACGGGUAGCCGGCCUGAGAGGGUGUCCGGCCACACUGGGACUGAGAUACGGCCCAGACUCCUACGGGAGGCAGCAGUGGGGAAUAUUGCACAAUGGGCGCAAGCCUGAUGCAGCGACGCCGCGUGGGGGAUGACGGCCUUCGGUUGUAACCCGUUCAGUAGGGACGAAGCGCAAGUGACGGUACCUACAGAAGAAGCACCGGCCAACUACGCGCCAGCAGCCGC